AGAGUUUGAUCCUGGCUCAGGAUGAACGCUGGCGGCGUGCCUAAUACAUGCAAGUCGAGCGAACGGACGAGAAGCUUGCUUCUCUGAUGUUAGCGGCGGACGGGUGAGUAACACGUGGAUAACCUACCUAUAAGACUGGGAUAACUUCGGGAAACCGGAGCUAAUACCGGAUAAUAUUUUGAACCGCAUGGUUCAAAAGUGAAAGACGGUCUUGCUGUCACUUAUAGAUGGAUCCGCGCUGCAUUAGCUAGUUGGUAAGGUAACGGCUUACCAAGGCAACGAUGCAUAGCCGACCUGAGAGGGUGAUCGGCCACACUGGAACUGAGACACGGUCCAGACUCCUACGGGAGGCAGCAGUAGGGAAUCUUCCGCAAUGGGCGAAAGCCUGACGGAGCAACGCCGCGUGAGUGAUGAAGGUCUUCGGAUCGUAAAACUCUGUUAUUAGGGAAGAACAUAUGUGUAAGUAACUGUGCACAUCUUGACGGUACCUAAUCAGAAAGCCACGGCUAACUACGUGCCAGCAGCCGCGGUAAUACGUAGGUGGCAAGCGUUAUCCGGAAUUAUUGGGCGUAAAGCGCGCGUAGGCGGUUUUUUAAGUCUGAUGUGAAAGCCCACGGCUCAACCGUGGAGGGUCAUUGGAAACUGGAAAACUUGAGUGCAGAAGAGGAAAGUGGAAUUCCAUGUGUAGCGGUGAAAUGCGCAGAGAUAUGGAGGAACACCAGUGGCGAAGGCGACUUUCUGGUCUGUAACUGACGCUGAUGUGCGAAAGCGUGGGGAUCAAACAGGAUUAGAUACCCUGGUAGUCCACGCCGUAAACGAUGAGUGCUAAGUGUUAGGGGGUUUCCGCCCCUUAGUGCUGCAGCUAACGCAUUAAGCACUCCGCCUGGGGAGUACGACCGCAAGGUUGAAACUCAAAGGAAUUGACGGGGACCCGCACAAGCGGUGGAGCAUGUGGUUUAAUUCGAAGCAACGCGAAGAACCUUACCAAAUCUUGACAUCCUUUGACAACUCUAGAGAUAGAGCCUUCCCCUUCGGGGGACAAAGUGACAGGUGGUGCAUGGUUGUCGUCAGCUCGUGUCGUGAGAUGUUGGGUUAAGUCCCGCAACGAGCGCAACCCUUAAGCUUAGUUGCCAUCAUUAAGUUGGGCACUCUAAGUUGACUGCCGGUGACAAACCGGAGGAAGGUGGGGAUGACGUCAAAUCAUCAUGCCCCUUAUGAUUUGGGCUACACACGUGCUACAAUGGACAAUACAAAGGGCAGCGAAACCGCGAGGUCAAGCAAAUCCCAUAAAGUUGUUCUCAGUUCGGAUUGUAGUCUGCAACUCGACUACAUGAAGCUGGAAUCGCUAGUAAUCGUUGAUCAGCAUGCUACGGUGAAUACGUUCCCGGGUCUUGUACACACCGCCCGUCACACCACGAGAGUUUGUAACACCCGAAGCCGGUGGAGUAACCUUUUAGGAGCUAGCCGUCGAAGGUGGGACAAAUGAUUGGGGUGAAGUCGUAACAAGGUAGCCGUAUCGGAAGGUGCGGCUGGAUCACCUCCUUU
rnacentral:rRNA from 1 species